rnacentral:rRNA from 1 species
AUUGAACGCUGGCGGCAGGCCUAACACAUGCAAGUCGAGCGGAGCGGCGGACGGGUGAGUAAUGCCUAGGAAUCUGCCUGGUAGUGGGGGACAACGUCCGGAAACGGGCGCUAAUACCGCAUACUAUGAGAUGAGCCUAGGUCGGAUUAGCUAGUUGGUGGGGUAAAGGCCUACCAGGGCGACGCUCCGUAACUGGUAUGAACGGAUGAUCAGUCACACUGGAACGGAGACACGGUCCAGACGCCGACGAGAGGCAGAAGUGGGGAAUAGUGGACAAUGGGCGAAAGCAGGAUCCAGCCAUGCCGCGUGUGUGAAGAAGGUCGUCGGAUUGUAAAGCACAUUAAGUUGUGAGGCGUUACCAACAGAAUAAGCACCGACUAACUUCGUGCCAGCCGCCGCGGUAAUUC